rnacentral:rRNA from 1 species
UACGUAGGGUGCGAGCGUUGCUCGGAAUUACUGGGCGUAAAGCGCACGUAGGCGGCUUUCUAAGUCGGGGGUGAAAUCCUGGAGCUCAACUCCAGAACUGCCUUCGAUACUGGAGAGCUCGAGUCCGGGAGAGGUGAGUGGAACUGCGAGUGUAGAGGUGAAAUUCGUAGAUAUUCGCAAGAACACCAGUGGCGAAGGCGGCUCACUGGCCCGGUACUGACGCUGAGGUGCGAAAGCGUGGGGAGCAAACAGG